rnacentral:rRNA from 1 species
GACGAACGCUGGCGGCGUGCUUAACACAUGCAAGUCGAACGGGUCUGCCCUGUUUUUUGCGGGGUGGGUCAGUGGCGAACGGGUGAGUAACACGUGAGUAACCUGCCCCUCACUUCUGGAUAACCGCUUGAAAGGGUGGCUAAUACGGGGUGUUCUGGCUGUGCCGCAUGGUGUGGCUGGGAAAGAUUCACUUUUGUGGUGUUUUGGUGGGGGAUGGGCUCGCGGCCUAUCAGCUUGUUGGUGGGGUGAUGGCCUGCCAAGGCUUUGACGGGUAGCCGGCCUGAGAGGGUGGGCUGUCACACUGGGACUGAGAUACGGCCCAGACUCCUGCGGGAGGCAGCAGUGGGGGGUAUUGCACAAUGGGCGGAAGCCUGAUGCAGCGACGUCGCGUGAGGGAUGGAGGCCUUCGGGUUGUGAACCUCUUUCGCCGGUGAAGAAGGUCCUGCUCUUUGUGGUGGGGUUGACGGUAGCCGGGUUAUGAAGCGCCGGCUAACUACGUG